rfam:Musa acuminata subsp. malaccensis Doubled-haploid Pahang (DH-Pahang) genomic chromosome, chr3
GGGGAUGUAGCUCAGAUGGUAGAGCGCUCGCUUAGCAUGCGAAAGGUACGGAGAUCGAUACCCCGCAUCUCCA